GAUGAACGCUGGCGGCGUGCCUAAUACAUGCAAGUCGAGCGAACAGACGAGGAGCUUGCUCCUCUGACGUUAGCGGCGGACGGGUGAGUAACACGUGGAUAACCUACCUAUAAGACUGGGAUAACUUCGGGAAACCGGAGCUAAUACCGGAUAAUAUAUUGAACCGCAUGGUUCAAUAGUGAAAGACGGUUUUGCUGUCACUUAUAGAUGGAUCCGCGCCGCAUUAGCUAGUUGGUAAGGUAACGGCUUACCAAGGCAACGAUGCGUAGCCGACCUGAGAGGGUGAUCGGCCACACUGGAACGGAGACACGGUCCAGACUCCUACGGGAGGCAGCAGUAGGGAAUCUUCCGCAAUGGGCGAAAGCCUGACGGAGCAACGCCGCGUGAGUGAUGAAGGUCUUCGGAUCUUAAAACUCUGUUAUUAGGGAAGAACAAAUGUGUAAGUAACUAUGCACGUCUUGACGGUACCUAAGCAGAAAGCCACGGCUAACUACGUG
rnacentral:rRNA from 1 species